rnacentral:lncRNA from 1 species
CUCAAAUACAACUUUUUAGCUCCAUGUUCUCUAUAUAAUGAGCCACCAGGAGUGGCCUAGUCAACAGUUCCCAUUUCGUCUGCCUAUCAUCAUGUUUAAUCUCAAGUUAUUUGUCCUGAUUGCAAUGGCCAUUUGCCUGACGCAAGCCUUCUCUCCCUGUGAGCCGGAGGAGCCAGUCAAUUGUGAAUUUGGCAAGCCCGAGUGCAGAUCCUGCGGCUGCGGCAGCGUCAAGACGUGUGGAUGUGGUUGCAAGCCGUGCCGGUGUCCCUGUUCCUCCUGUGGUUGCUCCAAGUAAUCAAGAUGCGCUUAGCCAAGUGUAUCCAUCUACAGUGCUGGAAGUGAGACCUUCCCAAUGGAAUUCUUGUUUGACAAAUGUUUUGUUUUUUUCCCCAUUAUUAAAGUGUUGCAACCUCUUGGAACUUUCAUCUUUGAUUUCAGCUGGCGUUCUUCGUACUUUGAGCGCUCAAUUGUGAAGCGUGUGGAAGGGAGCGCUUGAAUGGGCAGACAAUCAUUUUCAUUGCAUUGAUCACUUUUUUAUUCAUAUCCGUUCACUCGUUGGCAAAGUAAUUUCUUUGUUCUUUCCCAGCCAUGCUUCUUGAUUUCCCAGCACCGUCGACGCCCCUCAGACAACUGGGAAACAAAAGAAAAAGUAAUCAUAUCCGGACUCCUGCUGCACCCGUCCCGACCCCAGCUCCCCCGCUCAUUUGGCGCCACCAUCGUGUACUUUGCACUUUUCUACGUGAAUUGGUUUUUUUGUUUGUUCCUUUUUAAACUCUGUUUGGCACUGGCACUCGUAUUCCAUUUCAUUUGCUUGACUUUGGCAGGCACCUCCAGUGCCUAGGCCUUGGCAGGUCCAUCCUUGCAACCGCAGGACAUGGGUCGCAUCUCCUCCUAAUAACCCUAAAAGCCUUAUCGAGUCAUUUAGUAUGAAAACAAGCAAUUAAAAUGAUGAAUAUGCAAUAAAUGUGGAUUGUAUACGCAAACACACACAGUCACUCUGGCUCUCGCAUAAAGGACAAUUCCUUUCGUCCCCCCUCCACCGCCCGUCAAUACAUUUUAUAUGCUAAUGAGCGGCACACAUCUACGGGGAUCUACCAGCAACAAACAACCAAAAUGCUCAAAAAAUUCGGGAAAAAAUAAAGGAAAAAGGCCCGAAACAUACAUUUGCCUAAUGAAAAUAGCGCCAUUAAAAUGAGAAAAACAACUUUAGAUACCGAAAUUCGAAACACGGCGAGUUUUGGCAAUUAAAAGGAUACGAAUGAUACAAGGUUCUCCUCUCUCUCCACUCUCUCUCAACUGUCCUGCUGCGUCAGCCCAUGAAUAUGUACGAGCCUGAUGGAGAGAGGCACAGCGGCAGGGGCUGGCUAUACCUAUGGCCGUACACUAUGG